rnacentral:rRNA from 1 species
CCUACGGGUGGCAGCAGUGAGGAAUAUUGGUCAAUGGGCGGAAGCCUGAACCAGCCAAGUAGCGUGCAGGAUGACGGCCCUACGGGUUGUAAACUGCUUUUAUCCGGGAAUAACGCGCCUUACGUGUAGCGCUUUGCAUGUACCGUAUGAAUAAGGAUCGGCUAAUUCCGUGCCAGCAGCCGCGGUAAUACGGAAGGUCCGGGCGUUAUCCGGAUUUAUUGGGUUUAAAGGGAGCGUAGGCCGCAUGUUAAGCGUGAUGUGAAAUGUCCGGGCUCAACCCGGGCCUUGGAGGGCGAACUGGCUGGGUUGAGUCCGCAGAAAGCAGGCGGAAUUCGUCGUGUAGCGGUGGAAUGC